UCAAGUUUAAUCUGAAAUAUUAGAUAACCUUAAAAAUGAUAAAGAUACUGACUUUCAACAGCUCUAAAGAAAUCAGCAUCGUUCACUUCAAAUGGAUGAUACCUGAGGGAAAAUAAAUGCUACAAAUCCAUUCUGAAUACUACAUAGAUCAAGAAGCGUCACACUGAACUUUAGAUACAGAAGGCUGCUUGCUAAUCACCUUCCAGCUGCCGAGAGCUACGCUGAUGAUGAACACCAAUCUUAAGACCACCAACAGCUUCUAGGAAGGUACCUUCCACUACAUGCAGUUUAUUCUUAAAACUGUGAUCAGUACACAAUUGCUUUGGUGUUACAUAUAAUUAUGUGUAAUUUAUAUCUUUUCUGAAAAAGAAAAAAAUGUCUCUAGUAGAUGACAUCAACUACGUAACAUUAGCAGGCCACAUACUUGUUACUAGAUCAUCAAUACCAUCAGUGUGUGGAUACCUGCAAAGUACAGGUUAAGAUUUCUUCUUCAGGGCAUAAGGGCAUCUGCUAAAUAAUUAACUCUUACAACCUACAGUCACAAAUAAGAGCUAGUGACCCUUAAAUUUACUAUGGGUUCUCAAAGUUCAAUAUAUGCAGCUGAAUUCACUACGAGCUGUUUCCUUAUUAAUUCCUUGACAGUUAAUGACAGUUAAUGCUGUAAGCCUGACAGGAUCUAAAAUCACCUUAGAGACAACUUCUAGCCUCAUCGGUGAGGAACUGUCUCAUUUCUAUAGAUCAGUUGAAGCGGCAUGGCUCCAUGGCUGAGGUACUGUCUGGGUGAAAAGGAGAAAUGAACCGAGUGCUAGCACUCACUUCCUCUGCUUCCUGACUACUGUGCAGCGUGCACUGCUGCCUCAAGCUCCUAACGCCAGGGCUUACUUCCCUGCAGUGACCUGCUGUGACCUUGGAACCAUAGGCCAAAAUAAAUCCUUCCUUCCUUAAGUAAGAGGAAAAGAAAAUAAUACAAUCCCACUUUACAUAUAGGGAAACUCAGGUACAAUGCUAAGUAUCAUACUCAAUAAAUAUAUUGAGAGGCUGCUUCAGACAGGUCAUCUCUCAAACACUACGCUAUGGCUAACUACUGUGCUUAGAAAACAAAAUAAGAAAGCGGCACAUUGACACAUUUAAUCAUGCCAGACUAAAAUUAUAUAUAAAAUACCCCCUCAGUAAAUCAAUACAGAACUUAGAGAGUAUAGGAAGUCUCUCACUGUAUGUAUCAAGCUGAAGUCUAUUCCAAUGGAAAGACUCACAGGAACAGCUCUCUCACAUACCUCUCUCUGCUGCUGCACCUCCUUCGCUCUUCUCUCCAUUGACCUAGUUCACAGAAGAAAAGAGUUUCAAUUGCAUAAAAGACUCAAACUUAAUACUCCACUGCAAUGGAAAGCAAUGGCAUUUUAUAAAAAAUACACUUGAAAAAAAGACAUAGCUCAGCCGUAGAGCUGCAUGAACUACUCAAGCCUGCAAACGCCCUCCACCCUCAAGACUUCAGACACACAGUACUGGCUUUACUAGGCACCAGCUAAAAUAGCCAGAAGUGUAUCAGAAUCACGGUUCAUUCUCAAAGUUUCUUAAGAAGCGCCAGAUAUAAUUUGAGUACUUAACCAGAAAGUGCUUCUUAAAAUGAAGCAGCAAUUCUAGUAUUUCAGCCAGUGUUUUCUACCGCAAAGUUAAAGGAAAACCAGUAAUAACUGAAUAGGCAGCAAUACUUAUACAUUUUCCAGGGCAACAUGACAUAACCUUGUAGAAUGCUAGCUCAGUUUUCAGAUGGGAAAACUGAGGACCCACUUGGACCUAUGGAUCAAAGUUAAUAACAUACUUGUAGGUGCACAUUUGCACACGGUAUAUAUAUAUAUAUAUAUAUCAUCUGGCUCCUAGUAUGAAACACAGGAUACCGUCCACAGAGAAUUCUUACCAUGAAACAAAACAGCACUGCCCUGACACUGUAGGAAAUAAAGGAAAACCUACAGGUUGGGGGCAGAAAGUGUGGUUCACUUUCUUUAUUUAAUCACGUGCAUGGUAUGAAGUUUCAGAAGAGAAUCUUAAAGGGAAAUUAUUUUAACACCUUAAGAGAUAUAACAAUCAGAAGGCAGUUCAUUGUUGUGCAUCAUGAUCAACAAAUCAACUUAAAAACCAACCACGUGCAGGCAGCAGCAAUGUCCGACUAUAGACUGAGCACCAGGCAACACUAAGGAGUUACUGUGAAGUUUACAGGGUGGAGAGGACCACGGCUAUGUGAGCUGUACAGCGAAGUGCUUAGCAGUAAAGUAGCAGAGCAGCUAGAGUUUGCUUUCAAAUUCUCAAACCACAAAAAGAAAAAGCAAAGAAAAUAGAAAAUGUACGAGACAAAGUUGGGCAAACGUUAAAGUGAAAGUAACAGGGCUGGAGAUGUAGCACAGCUGGUCAUAUGCUUGUCCUAGCAACCCAUUAACUGGGCAUGAUUACCCAGGCCUAUAAUCCUAAAAAUCGGGGUAAAGGCAAAAAGCAGGAAUUCAAGGCCAGUCUUGAUUACUUAAUGAGUCUGGGCUAGCCUGGACUAUAAGAGACCCUGUCUCAAAUUACCAAAAAAAAAAAAAAAAAAAAAAAAAAAAAAAAAAAAGCAA